AUGGUAGCCUUCAGAGAUACUUUGGAAACUUGCGGACUGGUUGAUCUUGGCUUUGUGGGUGUCCCGUUCACUUAUGAUAAUAAACGAGCAAGAGCAAGGAAUGUGCGUGUGCGCCUAGACAGAGCAGUUGCCACAAAUGCUUGGAGGAAUAUGUUUGCUUUCUCGUCUGUCCAGCAUGUUCCGUCACCGUGUUCUGACCAUGUAGUCUUGCUGCUAAAAACUGAAGUUGAUGAAAGACCAAAAGGACCUAAGUGCAGAAGAUAUGAAGUAUUCUGGGAGAGGGAUGAUGCACUACCAGAGGUAAUAAAGAACGCAUGGGAAGCUGUAAGUGGCGUACAAAACCUCGUACAGCUGCGGGACGCACUAACGAAAACAAUGCUGACACUUAGUGCCUGGAGCAAAAAGUUUGGCAAUAUCACUAGGGAACUAACCAAGUCUAGGUCGCAAUUGGAGGAACUCAUGCAUAUGAAUGCAAACCAGCAAGAUAUUCGGAGGGUAACGGAUAAGAUGAAUGAGUUGCUGUACCAAGAGGAAAUGAUGUGGCUUCAGAGGUCUAGAAUCACAUGGUUGAAGGAAGGUGACCGCAAUACCAAAUUCUUUCAGAGUAAGGCUGUAUGGAGAGCAAUAAAAAAUAAGAUACGCGAACUCACAGACAGUAUUGGUGUUGUGCAUUCAGAUUUCGCUAAGAUGGGGGAGCUGGCAAACGAGUACUUCCAUAAUAUUUUUGCCGCUGAUCCCUCUCUUGAUCCUUCACCGGUCCUUGAUAUGUUGGAGGCUAUGGUCUCGGAGGAGGACAACAUCAAACUAUGUGCGCCAUUCACUGAUAAGGAAAUUGCAGAUGCGUUGUUUCAGAUUGGGCCACUGAAGGCCCGGGUCCGGAUGGCCUUCCGACGAGGUUUUUCCAGCGAAACUGGAGCACUAUUAAGGAGGAUGUUUUAG
rnacentral:rRNA from 1 species